rnacentral:hammerhead_ribozyme from 1 species
AUCCAGCUGACGAGUCCCAAAUAGGACGGAAAUGCCUAUCUUGAAU